CACCUCAAAGUCCAGCCUGCUGGUGACUAACACUAACAGAUGAGCAAGGAGCUGGCAGCAAUGGGGCCUGGAGCUUCAGGGGACGGGGUCAGGACUGAGACAGCUCCACACUCAGCACUGGAUCCCAGAGUUGGUCUGCACACCUAUGACAUCAUCGUGGUGGUCAUCUACUUCGUCUUUGUCAUUGCCGUGGGGAUCUGGUCGUCCAUCCGUGCAGGCCGAGGGACCAUUGGUGGCUAUUUCCUGGCUGGGAGGUCAAUGAGCUGGUGGCCAAUUGGAGCAUCUCUGAUGUCCAGCAAUGUGGGCAGUGGCUUGUUCAUCGGCCUGGCUGGGACAGGAGCUGCUGGAGGCCUUGCCGUGGGUGGCUUCGAGUGGAACGCAACCUGGCUGCUCCUGGCCCUGGGCUGGGUCUUCGUCCCUGUGUACAUCGCAGCAGGUGUGGUCACAAUGCCCCAGUACCUGAAGAAGCGAUUUGGGGGCCAGAGGAUCCAGGUGUACAUGUCUGUCCUGUCUCUCAUCCUCUACAUCUUCACCAAGAUCUCGACUGACAUCUUCUCUGGAGCCCUCUUCAUCCAGAUGGCUUUGGGCUGGAACCUGUACCUCUCCACGGGGAUCUUGCUGGUAGUGACAGCCAUCUACACCAUCGCAGGGGGCCUUGCGGCCGUGAUCUACACAGAUGCCCUGCAGACGGUGAUCAUGGUGGGGGGAGCCCUGGUCCUCAUGUUUCUGGGCUUUCAGGAUGUGGGCUGGUACCCAGGCCUGGAGCAGCGGUACAGGCAGGCCAUCCCUAAUGUCACAGUCCCCAACACCACCUGUCACCUCCCACGGCCCGAUGCCUUCCACAUGCUGCGGGACCCUGUGAGCGGGGACAUCCCUUGGCCAGGCCUCAUUUUCGGGCUCACAGUGCUGGCCACCUGGUGUUGGUGCACAGAUCAGGUCAUUGUGCAGCGGUCUCUCUCGGCCAAGAGUCUGUCCCAUGCCAAGGGAGGCUCCGUGCUGGGGGGCUACCUGAAGAUCCUCCCCAUGUUCUUCAUCGUCAUGCCUGGCAUGAUCAGCCGGGCCCUGUUCCCAGAUGAGGUGGGCUGUGUGGACCCUGAUAUCUGCCAAAGAAUCUGUGGGGCCCGAGUGGGAUGUUCCAACAUCGCCUACCCCAAGCUAGUCGUGGCUCUCAUGCCUGUUGGUCUGCGGGGCCUGAUGAUUGCUGUGAUCAUGGCCGCCCUCAUGAGCUCACUCACCUCCAUCUUCAACAGCAGCAGCACCCUGUUCGCCAUUGAUGUGUGGCAACGCUUCCGCAGGAAGGCAACAGAGCAGGAGCUGAUGGUGGUGGGCAGAGUGUUUGUGGUGUUCCUGGUUGUCAUCAGCAUCCUCUGGAUCCCCAUCAUCCAAACCUCCAACAGUGGGCAGCUCUUCGACUACAUCCAGGCUGUCACCAGUUACCUGGCCCCGCCCAUCACUGCUCUCUUCCUGCUGGCCAUCUUCUGCAAGAGGGUCACAGAGCCCGGAGCCUUCUGGGGCCUCAUGUUUGGCCUGGGAUUGGGGCUUCUGCGCAUGAUCCUGGAGUUCUCAUACCCAGCGCCAGCCUGCGGGGAGGUGGACCCGCGGCCAGCAGUGCUGAAGGACUUCCACUACCUGUACUUUGCACUCCUGCUCUGCGGGCUCACUGCCAUCGUCAUCAUCAUUGUCAGCCUCUGGACAACUCCCAUCCCUGAGGAACAGCUCAAACGCCUGACAUGGUGGACUCGGAACUGCCCCCUCUUUGAGCUGGAGAAGGAGGCCCAUGAGAGCACACCAGAGAUAUCCAAGAGGCCAGCUGGGGAGUGCCUUGCAGGAGGCGGAGUGCUGGAGAACUCCAGCCCAGACCCGGAGCAGCCUGAAGGGUGAAAAUUUGGGAGAACUUUAAAGGUUAUAUAUAAACGGAAAUCCUACGGACUUAAAUUAAGAGUAGAGAUUGGUCUUGGCUUGUGAAGUUGGGAUAAAGGUAUUUUAUAUGCAUAAUACCUCGAGUUGUGGAGGAAUCCACCAAAACACCUAGGCGACCAUUCACAGAAGGUCGUCCAUGGCUAACUGCAGUACUUGCUAUAAUCCCACGCUAUGUGGACUAGAUUGCUGAAGACAGACCCCUAACUGAAGCACAACCUUCUGCAUUUUCCAUAUAUACUGGUGAGUAGCUGAUGGCUAUUUUUUGUUUUACAAGAUAGAGUGGAAACAGGCUUCAAUCAAUUCAGCUGGACAAGUAGCAAAAGGACUAUCAUGUGUUCAGCAAAUAACUCCAUCCAACCUGCCCCAAAGACCCCUAUAGCAAAAGCCAUUACACUUCAUGUGCUUUAUUUUCUCCUUCCUGCAACCCUGAAGUGUUUUCUGAUAUUUGAAGCCUGGUAAUAAUCUUUGUCUUCUAUCCGUGUUUCUGAAUCCUCAGCCAAAUUCAUGGCUGUCUCGUUUUCUGAGUCAGAUGUUCUAAUCAACUAAUCCAUUCUAAAUAGCCUUGCUUCUGGAUAUAAAGGGAAAAGAAAAAAUAAAUGUUUUAAAUUUCAGGGACAUAAAAUUGUGUUGGAAAAUGUUCCCUAUGGAAACAUCAGAUGGUCACAGAAGGGGUGUUUUAUUAAUAAAAAUAAAUAUUAUUUGGGACUUCUAUCCAAAAGCAUGGAUAACAUUAACCAUCAUUGGAGAAAAAUGUUCAUUCAAAAUGAUUUCAGGAUUUUAAUUUGCUGUUUUGUUUUUCUUUGGUAUGUUUUUGUCUUUGUAUAUUUCCCGGACAACAAAUUUUGAAGCCAGUAAAUUAAGCAAAAUUUAUCUUGCAUUCUACUCAAGUUAAUCUCCAGAACACACAGAUUAUUUUCCAGGGAUAGAGAUACAUAAACCUUUACAAAUAAAAGGGAUUUCAAAUGAAUCCAUUUCUUAAAAAAAAAUGAUAGUUGCAUGAUUCACAGUAGUGAAUGUUUAUGAAGCACUUUCUAUAUGCCAGCCACUCUGUUAAUUACUUUAUUUGUGUCACCUCAUUUAAUCCUCCCAGCCCACCUGAGAUAGCUAGGGCCUCUGUACCAUGUGAAUGAUGCCUCCCACAGUGGUGCAACAUGGUGCCCUGGAGUUAGGCAUCAUUUUCUCUUUCGGAGAUAAAGAAAUGGAGACACAGAAUGAUUCAGCACCUUGCCACCAACUCAUGCAGUUGGUGCAUAGUAUUGACAGGUCUCAAACCAAGCUCAUUUGGCCAAGUCCAUGGUUCUUACUAUAUUACACUGUACCAGCUACUGUGCUGUGAGGCAUAACAAUUAAUUGUGGCAGGAUAGUGUUAUCCUGAUUACCAUGCCUUCCUUGAUGUUUAUUCUAGCUGUUCCAUUGGCCUACAUCAUUCUUUUGCACAUCUCUGCCUACUGAAAUCUCAUGCAUCCUUUAAGGUUCACCUCAAGCGUCUGUAAUAUCUUCCCCAGACCAUUCUUUUCUCUAGCAGAAUUAAUCAAAUUCUCCCUUUGACCUAAUGAUAUCUGUGCCUGGAUGUUUUGUGUUUUUUCAAGAUGGGAUAGUAACAGCAUUCAAAAAUGUUUCAUGACUGCAACUCCAGUAUUCAUAACAUUGAGUUGAGGACAUAUAUUUCUCUUAUUCUUUGAAAUAGGACGGAGCAUUCUUGUCUCUCCCCUACCCACCACUCCUCAUUUCUCUCUUUUUAAAAAAAAUUUUCUCAGCCUCUAAAGGUGAUGACUGAAUUUUUUUAUACCUAUUAUAGUAUUUUCCAUGUUGAAAUGUAACUCACCUACCUGUGUCUUUCUUUUUAAGACUCUAAGUUCCUCAAGAGCAGGGAUAGAUGAAUCUGUAUCCCCUAUCCUUGGCACCUACCACUGUCCCUAGUACGUAAGUGCUCAGUAAUGUUAUUUGCAUGAACAAACAUCCUCAUGCAAGACAUGUGACCUACUAAACUUGUCUGUUUGGUGUGGAUUGUUAUGUCUUAGAUCAAGGAGAGACAAAAAUACUUAUCCAUUGUACUAACCUACAAGAUGUAAUUCAGUAUGUAUUUAUUGAAGUCAAGUGUUACUGAAAUAAUAAUUUGUUAGCCAUUUACAAAUGGCUAUAUAGAAUUUACAAAGCUUUCUAUUUUAACUGUUUUACUUGUGUUGUGAUUGAAGAAAAGUUUCCUUUUCAGGAAGAAAACACCUUGAACUUAAAUAAAAUAUACUGUAAGAUUUGUACUGGUACAAUGAUAAAUUUUGUAUAAUAAAUUAUAUAAUACCAUAGUUAAAGAUAUGCAUUUUAAUCUGUCGGGGUGGGUGGUAUGUGAUAUAGUAAAUCAUCAUAUAAAGAAAUCUAAAUGUAGUCUCAAUGUUUUUAUGUUUCUCUUAUAUAAAAAGUAUAUAAAAUUAGAACAUUAAAUCAAUGUAAUUUUAUCCUUACCUGUUAAAUUGAAUUUGGGGAGAUAGAUUUUUAACAUUUACACUAACAUGCUCUUUAAAUGCAGCAAGUUCAUUGAGCUAAAUGGAGCAGGAGACAAACAAAAAAUUCUUAUAAUAGUCAAAACUGAUGAUAUAACAUCAAUACUCAAAAGGUCCUGACACAGAAUAUUUUCAUUCUUGUUUUAUACAAUCAUAAAAAAUUGGUAACCUGGUCCCCAAGCCCACUCUACAUCAAAAGCAGGAAGUGUGAAAACAUAACAUAAAUUCUAAAAACAAAAGAAAAUUGGGACAUAUUAGCAUGAAGUCAGUCACUGCAGACAUAAAUGGCUCUACUCUACCUCAACAGUUCUGCAUUUAAUGCUGGCUAACACAAUAAGUGAUCUUCGUAACGGGAAGGAUCAUCAAAUGUAUUCACAUACCAAAACAUCACAUUGUACAACUUACAUAUACAAUUUUUUGUUUUUCAGCUAUACCUCAAUAAACCUGGAAAAUAUAUAUUCAGUAUGUUUCAGAAGGUCAAAAUAGACGUGAUAAAAUAGGAAGUGUUCUAGUCAAUAAAGAACAAAUUAAGCAUAAUUCAGAACUAUUUGAAAAUUUAGAUGUUCAGAACUUAGAGCUCACAUAGUGGAGGUUUUAUUGCUUUAGGACAUUAUUUAUGAAGAAUUUAAAACCUAUUAUGACUAAUAAUUAUUUAAAGGCAAAGCAAACUUUCUAAUGCCAAUAUUAUUGCCUUUUCCAGUUUAGAUUCGAUGUAAACAUUACUACUUUUUCAGUUAGUUCAUCCCUUGACUUUACCUAACUUGAGGUAUAACACAACUUAUCUCAAAAACCACUUGUGUGAGUCAAACAAUCCUGCAGAGACUUUCAGAUGAGAACCUACGGUGCAUUCCUGAAAAUAAAAAAGAUAAUCUGAUUUUUUUGUUUCCUCUCCAGGUUUCCCACGUCUUCACAUUUGGUUUAAUAAUCAAUACAAAGAACUGCAAUUUCUAUAAGGUGUGUCAUUAGCAAAUAAUAUCUAUGGCACCUUAACUGUAAUUACCCACAUCUGUCAAGAAUUCAGGUGUCACUGGACACAUUUUCUCUUCAUACCUUACAAACAUUAAGAAUACAAGAAAGGUUACAUCCUUUAGAAUCAUGAAAACCCUAACUUACCAGAGUAUCAUUCACAGUUUCCAGUGUGCUAUUUUACCUUCCGACAAGUUUUAUAAAGGAGAAGGGAAUAAAACUAACUUACAUUACAUACAAGAUGUUGCCUACAUAGAUGCCAGAAAGGGAAGCAAAUGAACAGCCAGUAACAUAUGGCAGUGAGCUGACAGCAUAACGAAACUAGUUCUGCACGAGCAACAAGAAACAUCUUGAAAUGUUCAAGACAUAUGUGUUUUUAGGAAGAAGACUGAAGUGUUUCAUAAUAAAAACAGGACAAAGUGAACCAUGAGUGUGGAAUAAAGUUUUAAUUAAAAAAGGGUUUUUAGUCUUCAAUGUGAAUAUACAAUAUGCUUCACAGAUGGAUUUUAUAUUUAAGCCUUAUCCAAACCAAAGAAGUAAGUGAGACAAAUAAAGCUUCUGAAAACGGUACCAA